rnacentral:lncRNA from 13 species
CAGGUUUCUUGUGCGUCAACCUACCUACCCCUCCCAGACAACAGGAUGUGUGCUAACUGGGGAAAAGAGCAAGCACCGUACAAAAGAGUCAGACCCGGGCAUAUCUUGCAGCUGCCUGGGGCCAGCCAGAUGUCACUUAUACCAACAAAGUAGCAGCUAAGUCCCAACAGGCUGCUAGUAUCUCCCCAUCUGCUUUAGGGGUUGUUGCAAGGACAAAAGGAGAUUAGCUGCUGCUUCAUUCUAAUCUGGCAAGUAUUCACCAAGCAUCUUGUUCAUUCAUUCCUUCAACAACUGUUUGUUGUGGGUCUACUCAUGCCAGCCCAGAGAGGACUCCGACAUGGCCAGAGGACACUGACUUCAAUGGAACACACAUGCUUACUUGAGUGGUUACAACACACUGCUCAGCGCAGGAGACCUGGGGUAGACAGAGUCAAUGGGGCAGGUCAUAGGACGGGCUGGCUUUAUUAGAGAAGGAGAAAUCAAGGAGGGAUUCUCUACUUUCAAAUACAAACUGAAAGGCCUCCUGAAGAACCGAUGUAAGACUCCAGGGAGGUAAGGAGGAAAGAAGAGCAGUCCCCCAGCAAGGGCAGGGGAUGAGGAGGUAUGGCAAGUUUAGCAAAUGGCAGGCAAUCUGCAGUGUCUGUAGGGCAGAGAGAACAGUGGGCAUGAAAGUGCCCUUUGGAAAGGCAAUCAAGAGGAGAAAAGCGGGGGACUGAAGGCCAUGGGAAAGUUUGGACCUUCAACCAAAGGGAGCCUUUGGAUGACUUUACUAUGAUCAGACUGAUCUAGAAAGAUUGCUAAGGUUGUGUGAUGGAGAUAGCCUAGAAGGUGACUUGAGGUAGCACAACCGUGUUAUUAUGACUUUACUACUUGUGGACUAUUUCACACUCUGAACUCACUAACCUAUUGAACUUCAUGCCGACUACAUACAUUAGGGACUACUGUCAUCCCCCUUUUGCAGAUGAGGACACUGAGACACAGAGAAGUUUCAGUGCAGUAUUCAGUAAUGACACCUCACGCCUGUCUCUCAUGAUACCGUUCUGCUGGAUACCACUCAAAGGUCAGGCUUUGAGCCAGUGGAAAGGGAGAAGAACACGUUGCAGAGAA